rnacentral:rRNA from 1 species
UACGUAGGUGGCGAGCGUUGUCCGGAAUUACUGGGUGUAAAGGGCGUGUAGGCGGGAGUGCAAGUCAGAUGUGAAAUUCCAAGGCUUAACCUUGGCACUGCAUCUGAAACUGUGCUUCUUGAGUGCUGGAGAGGAAAGCGGAAUUCCUAGUGUAGCGGUGAAAUGCGUAGAUAUUAGGAGGAACACCAGUGGCGAAGGCGGCUUUCUGGACAGUAACUGACGCUGAGGCGCGAAAGCGUGGGGAGCGAACAGG